UCCUGCUUCCUGAGGGCCUCCUGGAGGAGCUGCGUCAGGUGGUUCACCUCACCCUCCAGCUGCUCUCGUGCUGUCUCGAGUUCCACACGGGAGACUGAAUCAUCUGAGAAACACCACCUGGACCAUCUUCCUUUUCCACUUGUGGCAGUGACUCAAACUCAUCCUGGGUGGAGUGGAAGGAGGAGUUGGAGGCCAUGCUGUUUGGACGACUGGUGUCCUCACUUCCUUGGACGGAAGGAUGUUUCUGCAAGCGAUUAAUCAAGAAAACAACGAGUACAAGGACUGGAUUUGUUCCCCCCAUCACUUACACUUGAAUCGCAUUAGAAGGGGAUCUCUUCAAAGCCAGUAUGGACAUGAGAGAUGAUUACAGUGACCAAUAAGUCUUUAAAUGUACAUGUGGGCAUAGAUUCUGAGGUGAUGCAGUGCACAGCCCGUGCCACCAGAGGUCAGUCUUUACUGAUUGAACAGGCAGCUGAGCUGAGGAAGACAGCUACUGCAAGUGGUGUGGAUAACGUUACAGGGAGUUCAGGACCAGUCACCGUCUGCUCCACCGACUGCUUCAGGUCUUCGAUUGUCUCCAGCAACAUGUUUCUCUCCUCAUGGAGCUUCUCAACCUCCUCUCUCAGCGCCGUUCCUCUAAACUCAUC